rnacentral:lncRNA from 1 species
GCCAUCUUGCAAUCACGAGGCAAGAAGCUUCAGGACAAAAGCUGGCACACCAAGAAUAAGGGACUGAAAAGAUAAAACAGACCUGGCCGUGAUGGCAUUGAUCUACCCAUCCAGGAGCAAUGUUUGUUUUCCUUGGAAUCUACCCAUGCCUCUCGCCUCUACGAUGACACCAUCCUCCCUCUACCUCACCCACUUGUUCAACCACCCAGCAGCUGCCACCUGCCAUGCACUAUGAGUUCAUCCGAUUGGGCCAUGGGACUCAUGAGUCCCUGGAGGACAGACACUGUGACUUAUCCCUCAUUACACUUCUCGGGCCUGGCUCAGUGCCUGACUUACAAUAGGUUUCCCAAACCGCUAGAUUAAGAUUGAGUUCACUACAGGAGCAGGUGUGUUUAGCAAGAGUGCUUUUCAAAACAUCAUGUUGAUCAGAAUAACUCUGGCCACUGUUUCCAUUCCAUAUUUCUGCUGUAAAGUCUCAACUAAAAGGGGGAAGCCCUUGCCAUUCGGAAUGCAUUAUUCCCUUUGGAGAAACCUAGGUGGUGGGGAGUUCUUCCUGGCUGGUAGUCACCGCCUUCUGCCCUGGGCGCCCCUGCCUCCAGCCCCCAGGGCUUGCUUCUCUACCACCGCAGGCAGUCCUUAGCCUCUGGGCCUGGAAGCGAGGCUGAGGCCAGCCCUGCCACAGCGAGGCAAGCCCACCCAUUUUGCAUCUGUGUAAACCCAAGUGCUAGCAGCAAUAUUCAUCUUAAUUUUCUCUUUAAACCCUUGAGUUGCAUUAUAGCUUCCAUUGUGCUGGUGACAGACAAAUGCCUUGCAAUAAAUCAAAGUUAGGGUGACUGAUACACUAAACACC